ACACCAACACCAGCACCAACACAAACAUUAACAACAACUUCACACAAAACACAACCCCUCUCUCUCUCUCUCUAAAAACAGAUUUCUCUCUCUCUCUCUCUCUCUCUAUCUGCAUGAAAAUAAUAAUCGCACUGCCGGCCAUGAUUCCAAUUCAUCGGCCACUCUUUCCUAUAAAACUAGAAUAGUCUCUGUUUAUUUUUUUCAGUGGUGUAUAAAAGAAAAAAACUUCGUCUUUUUGAACAUUUUUUUUUUGUAGUUGAAUUUGAGCGAGUAUGGAGAAAAUGCUGGAUCUUAAUCUGAGUGUAGCGUCGCAGAAUUCAGGAAAACUUUCUGGAAGUAGUCGAAUGGAGAGUUCUGGAACUGGGAGCUUUAACUCCUCUUCCGUAGUCAACACCGCCGGAGCCGGUGUCUGUGCCGGCGGCGCCGGCGACGAUGACUCUACUUCCAACUACGACGCCGCUUUUGGUUACAGCUUCAGCAUUCUGAGGAAGGACAAAGAGCUCGAUGUCGAUCGUGGAGGAGGAGGAGAAGAAGAAGAAGAGGACGAGGACGACUGCGGUGUUCGCAACGACCGGACGAUACAGUUGUUUCCGGCGGCCGGAGGUGGAGCAGUUUCCGACGUGGCGGGGUGGUUGGAUCUCACUACGACUUUCGGUGAAGCCGCGGAGCAGAGGAUCGUACCUCAGCAGCAGCAGCAACAGAAGCCUCUGGUCAAGAAGAGCCGACGUGGACCAAGGUCUCGGAGCUCACAGUAUCGUGGCGUUACGUUUUAUCGAAGAACUGGUCGAUGGGAAUCGCAUAUUUGGGAUUGUGGAAAGCAAGUUUACUUGGGAGGAUUUGACACUGCUCAUGCUGCUGCUAGGGCGUAUGAUCGGGCUGCGAUCAAGUUUCGCGGAGUAGAAGCUGAUAUCAAUUUCAAUAUCAGUGAUUAUGAUGAUGAUAUUAAGCAGAUGAGUCAUUUUAGCAAGGAUGAAUUUGUGCAUAUCCUGCGGCGCCAGAGCACCGGGUUUUCGAGGGGAAGCUCCAAGUAUAGGGGAGUGACACUGCACAAAUGUGGUCGAUGGGAAGCUCGUAUGGGGCAGUUUCUGGGCAAGAAGUAUAUAUAUCUCGGGCUAUUCGAUAGUGAGAUUGAGGCUGCAAGGGCAUAUGACAAGGCUGCCAUCAAAUGCAAUGGAAGGGAAGCAGUCACCAACUUUGAGCCUUGCUCAUAUGGAGGGGAAAUUUUUGCUGAGGCCGAUAAUGGAGAAGGCAAUCAAAGUCUUGAUCUUCAGUUAGGAAUUUCACUCCCUUCUUUUGCUGAUCGAGAAAAGGAGAACGUCAAUGUGAGCGGUUUUCAUUUUCAGCAUGGCUGGGAUGACAGGCCUAUUGAUGGGAGAUCAAGGAUUGAGAAUUCUUCUUCAGCAACAGUUAGGGCUCAACCGUCUCAUCGACCUGUGGAAGCAUCUGAGCAUGCUCCUAUCUGGAGUGGCGUGAAUUCCAGUUUCUUUUCUCUGUAUAAGGAAAGAGCAAUGGAGAAGAGGACGGAAGUUGAUUCCUUGCCAAACUGGCCACGACAAAUCCAAGGUCCUUAUGGUGGGGUGACUCAAGUGCCGCUCUUCUCUACUGCAGCAUCAUCAGGAUUCCCUUCUUUAACAACUACUUCUCCAUCAGCUGCUGUUGGUCAACUUCAUUUUUCUAACACAACUAUUCAUCCACCCCCAUUUUUUGCCAACAAUCACUUACAUCACCAACAUAUCCCAUUUCUACUGCAGGAGCUGAACCAAGUACCAGGUAGAACUUAGCAAAAGCCCAUAAAUCUUCUAUUUUGUAUUAAAUGUAGAAGAUGGGUAGGGAAACCAGGAAAACAAGAAUGGUAAUUGAAUUUGUUAGUUCCAGUCAUAGAUUCAUAUGAUUCAAUAGGUUGGUAAUCUUUUCUUCCGUUUUCUUCCCUGUGUGUCCUCCAUAUAUGACCGAUCUGUUGGUGCAUUAAGAGGCUCUAAACAAGGCUUCAAAUGUAUGUCAUGUGAAACGAUUUGAAAAGAAAAUAGUUUCACUCCAAAUGUUUAUUGGUAAGGUUGUGUGUACAUUUACCUUA